rnacentral:rRNA from 1 species
GAUGAACGCUGGCGGCGUGCCUAAUACAUGCAAGUCGAGCGAACAGAUGAGGAGCUUGCUCCUCUGACGUUAGCGGCGGACGGGUGAGUAACACGUGGAUAACCUACCUAUAAGACUGGGAUAACUUCGGGAAACCGGAGCUAAUACCGGAUAAUAUAUUGAACCGCAUGGUUCAAUAGUGAAAGACGGUUUUGCUGUCACUUAUAGAUGGAUCCGCGCCGCAUUAGCUAGUUGGUAAGGUAACGGCUUACCAAGGCAACGAUGCGUAGCCGACCUGAGAGGGUGAUCGGCCACACUGGAACUGAGACACGGUCCAGACUCCUACGGGAGGCAGCAGUAGGGAAUCUUCCGCAAUGGGCGAAAGCCUGACGGAGCAACGCCGCCUGAGUGAUGAAGGUCUUCGGAUCGUAAAACUCUGUUAUUAGGGAAGAACAAAUGUGUAAGUAACUAUGCACGUCUUGACGGUACCUAAUCAGAAAGCCACGGCUAACUACGUG